UACGUAGGGUGCAAGCGUUGUCCGGAAUUAUUGGGCGUAAAGAGCUCGUAGGCGGUUUGUCGCGUCUGCUGUGAAAAUCCAGGGCUUAACCCUGGACCUGCAGUGGGUACGGGCAGACUAGAGUGCGGUAGGGGAGAUCGGAAUUCCUGGUGUAGCGGUGAAAUGCGCAGAUAUCAGGAGGAACACCAGUGGCGAAGGCGGCUACCUGGACCGGUUCUGACGCUGAGGCGCGAAAGCGUGGGUAGCAAACAGG
rnacentral:rRNA from 1 species